CCGACCUUAGCUCAGUUGGUAGAGCGGAGGACUGUAGAUCCUUAGGUCACUGGUUCGAAUCCGGUAGGUCGGA
rnacentral:ncRNA from 11 species